GCCCUCUUGGCUAAGUGGUUACAGCGCGGCACUUGUAUCAAUCGUCUUUGAACGGUUACAAGGCAUGCCGAGAUCACUCGUUCAACUCGGGUAGUGGGCA